rnacentral:rRNA from 1 species
AGUUCUCGUUGAUGAUCGGUGCUUGCACCAAGAUUGAACAUGGAACGAGUGGCGGACGGGUGAGUAACACGUGGGUAACCUGCCCUUAAGUGGGGGAUAACAUUUGGAAACAGAUGCUAAUACCGCAUAGAUCCAAGAACCGCAUGGUUCUUGGCUGAAAGAUGGCGUAAGCUAUCGCUUUUGGAUGGACCCGCGGCGUAUUAGCUAGUUGGUGAGGUAAUGGCUCACCAAGGCGAUGAUACGUAGCCGAACUGAGAGGUUGAUCGGCCACAUUGGGACUGAGACACGGCCCAAACUCCUACGGGAGGCAGCAGUAGGGAAUCUUCCACAAUGGACGCAAGUCUGAUGGAGCAACGCCGCGUGAGUGAAGAAGGCUUUCGGGUCGUAAAACUCUGUUGUUGGAGAAGAAUGGUCGGCAGAGUAACUGUUGUCGGCGUGACGGUAUCCAACCAGAAAGCCACGGCUAACUACGUGCCAGCAGCCGCGGUAAUACGUAGGUGGCAAGCGUUAUCCGGAUUUAUUGGGCGUAAAGCGAGCGCAGGCGGUUUUUUAAGUCUGAUGUGAAAGCCCUCGGCUUAACCGAGGAAGCGCAUCGGAAACUGGGAAACUUGAGUGCAGAAGAGGACAGUGGAACUCCAUGUGUAGCGGUGAAAUGCGUAGAUAUAUGGAAGAACACCAGUGGCGAAGGCGGCUGUCUGGUCUGUAACUGACGCUGAGGCUCGAAAGCAUGGGUAGCGAACAGGAUUAGAUACCCUGGUAGUCCAUGCCGUAAACGAUGAAU